rnacentral:rRNA from 1 species
UAGGGAAUCUUCGGCAAUGGACGGAAGUCUGACCGAGCAACGCCGCGUGAUUGAAGAAGGUUUUCGGAUCGUAAAGCUCUGUUGUUAGAGAAGAACGUUGGUAGGAGUGGAAAAUCUACCAAGUGACGGUAACUAACCAGAAAGGGACGGCUAACUACGUGCCAGCAGCCGCGGUAAUACGUAGGUCCCGAGCGUUGUCCGGAUUUAUUGGGCGUAAAGCGAGCGCAGGCGGUUCUUUAAGUCUGAAGUUAAAGGCAGUGGCUUAACCAUUGUACGCUUUGGAAACUGGAGGACUUGAGUGCAGAAGGGGAGAGUGGAAUUCCAUGUGUAUCGGUGAAAUGCGUAGAUAUAUGGAGGAACACCGGUGGCGAAAGCGGCUCUCUGGUCUGUAACUGACGCUGAGGCUCGAAAGCGUGGGGAGCAAACAGG